rnacentral:misc_RNA from 1 species
CCCAACUAUCCCUAUUAAUCAUUACGGUGAUCCUAGAAACCAACAAAAUAGAAUCAUGCCGUCCUAUUUUAUUAUUCCAUGCUAAUGUAUUCGAGCAAUAAGCUUGCUUUAAACACUCUAAUUUUUUCAAGGUAAAAGUUCUGGUUCCAUAUGACACCCAAUUAAGGACAUCAUAUUUCUCCAGAAGGUGAGAAAUUGACUGUAACAGUUCAUACCCCUUAAGGCACGACCGUCACGUCAAUCCCGAAAUUCAACUACGAGCUUUUUAACUGCAACAACUUUAAUAUACGCUAUUGGAGCUGGAAUUACCGCGGCUGCUGGCACCAGACUUGCCCUCCAA